AUGUCGGAUAUUGCACCUGUGCAGCCAUUGGCUUUGGGUCUCCUCCAGCCGGAGCCCGGCUUCCGCUUCCACCCUACCGGCCAGGAGCUCGUGACCUACGACCUCCUCCGCAAGGUCCACGGCCACCACGCCUUCAUCCCCGAGGUCCAUGUGUACAAGCACGAGCCCUGGGAGCUGCCAGACAAGUCCUUCUCGCCCAGCACACACGACGCCGGGGCCAAGGUGGAAUGGUACUUUUUCGCGGUCAGGGCCCGAAAGUACCCCAACGGGCUUCGCAUGGGGCGGGCAACGGUCGCCGGGUUCUGGAAGUCCACCGGGAAGGAUCGCCCCGUCAUGCACAACGGCGUCAUCGUCGGCAUGAAGAAGACGCUUGUGUUCCACACCGGCCGUGCGCCUGGCGGCACACGCACCGACUGGGUCAUGCAUGAGUAUCGUCUUCAGGGCGACGCCUAUGCAUUGUGUCGAGUCUUCAAAAAGAACACCGUGGCUCCGUUGAUCGAUUUAUCCAGUGAUGCCGACACAUAUGAGGAUCCAAUGCAGUCUGUGCCCGGCGGCGUCGACACGGACAAGGAUUUGAUGGAGCACGUGUCUGACGGGGCCGAUUCACACAAGGAUCCCAAGCAGGAGAUUAUCCACUUAAUUUAG
rnacentral:rRNA from 1 species